rnacentral:rRNA from 1 species
CGGGGAAUUUUGGACAAUGGGCGCAAGCUUGAUCCAGCCAUGCCGCGUGGGAAAGAAGGCCUUCGGGUUGUAAACCGCUUUUGGCAGGAACGAAACGGCGACCUCUAAUACGGGUCGUUAAUGACGGUACCUGCAGAAUAAGCACCGGCUAACUACGUGCCAGCAGCCGCGGUAAUACGUAGGGUGCAAGCGUUAAUCGGAAUUACUGGGCGUAAAGCGUACGCAGGCGGCUUUGAAGACAGGUGUGAAUCCCCGGGCCUAACCUGGGAACUGCAUUUGUGACUGCAUGGCUAGAGUCUGUCGGAGGGGGGUGGAAUUCCACGUGUAGCAGUGAAAUGGGUAGAGAUGUGGAAGAACACCGAUGGCGAAGGCAGCCCCCUGGGAUGAGACUGACGCUCAUGUACGAAAGCGUGGGGAGCAAACAGGAUUAGAUACCCUGGUAGUCCACGCCCUAAACGAUGUCUACUAGUUGUCGGAGGGUAACUCCUUCGGUAACGCACGCUAACGCGUGAAGUAGACCGCCUGGGGAGUACGGUCGCAAGAUUA